AUCCUCGUAACUGGUGCCCAACCACAGUCUUCAUUUCUCACUGAAUACAAGAAAAUAAAAGACCAAAGGUAAAGAUUCCUUGGCCUUAUAUCACUGAGAAUCCUAGAGAACAUCUCUGACUCAUGGCUACAUUUGCAUGGAUCCUAGCAAAAUAAGAUCAUUGCUCUCAUUAAGUAAAAGAAGGUGCUCUCCGGCCUCAGUCUCCCUUUAGAGAGAACACCCACAGAAAAAUUAAAUUGUUCCUGGGUAACGCUGAUCAAAAUCCACGUAUAGCUGUGAUAUCACCAUGACAUGAGCAGCUUUGCACCACCACACCCUUCCACCAUGAUGUUCCUGCCUUGGAGCCAGCUAACCAUGGACUAAACCCUCUGAAACUGACUACAAUGCAGUUUCUACAAAAACUGAGACCUUCUUUACUUCAUCACUGAGCCUAGAAUAUCUAGAACCCUACAGCCCUUAAAAGAUAUUAGUUGGAAGAAUGUAUAGUCCUAAGAUAUUAUCAUUUCUCCUGUGACCUAACAUGCAUUUAUAUGAUAAAGUUUUCUGUUACCAUUUGGGAAUUAAUUUAUAUAUUUUACUCUACAGAAGUUAUGAGUCUGUCUUCCAAGUUUUACCUCUGAGCAGCAAUAUAGUCACUUUCAUAAGUCAUAAAG
ensembl:lncRNA